rnacentral:snRNA from 1 species
GUGCUCGCUUCGGUAGCACAUAUGCUAAAAUUGGAACGAUACAGAGAAGAUUAGCAUGGCCCUGACGCAAAGAUGCGACACUCAGAUUUGUGUUGUGUUCCAUAUUCUU